AACGCACAUUGCGCCCGCCAGUAUUCUGGCGGGCAUGCCUGUCUGAGCGUCAUUUCAACCCUCAUGCCCUAGCGGCGUGGUGUUGGGGCUCGGCCUGAACUUGCUUCGGGCCGUCCCCUAAAUCUAGUGGCGGACCCGCUGUGGCCUCCUCUGCGUAGUAGUAAUAUUUCGCAUGUGGAGAGCAGCAGGCCCCUGCCGUAAAACCCCAACUUUUUCAGGUUGACCUCAGAUCAGGUAGGAAUACCCGCUGAACUUAA
rnacentral:misc_RNA from 1 species